UAAUCGGUUAAAUAUAAUAGGCAGGACUAAGCAUGUAGAACUUUUGGCAGAGGACUCGCGGACGGCGGUUCGAAUCCGCCCGCCUCCACCA
rnacentral:tmRNA from 4 species